GACGAACCGUGCGAACGUUGUUCGGAUUCACUGGGCUUAAAGGGCGCGUAGGCGGGCGUCAAGGUCCGGGGUGAAAUACUCCAGCUCAACUGGAGAACAGCCUUGGAUACCGGACGCCUCGAGUGGGGUAGGGGCGGGCGGAACUUCCGGUGGAGCGGUGAAAUGCGUAGAUAUCGUUUGGAACGCCAAUGGUGAAAACAGGUAGCUGGGGAUGUGCCGACGCUGAGACACGAAAGCCAGGGGAGCGAACGGG
rnacentral:rRNA from 1 species